CAAUAGCGUAUAUUUAAGUUGUUGCAGUUAAAAAGCUCGUAGUUGGAUUUCGGGUGGGACGCAGCGGUCUCGCAUUGCGUUUGUACUGCUGCAGCCCUCCUUCUUGCCGGGGGUGGCCUCUCGGACUUCACUGUCUGGGGGUCAGAAUCGGCGAUGUUACUUUGAGUAAAUUAGAGUGUUCAAAGCAAGCUUACGCUCUGAAUAUAAUAGCAUGGGAUAACACGACAGGACUCUGGCCUAUCGUGUUGGUCUAUAGGACCAGAGUAAUGAUUAAGAGGGACAGUCGGGGGCAUUCGUAUUCCGUUGUCAGAGGUGAAAUUCUUGGAUUUACGGAAGACGAACAUCUGCGAAAGCAUUUGCCAAGGAUGUUUUCAUUGA
rnacentral:rRNA from 1 species